GAUGAAGAACGCAGCGAAAUGCGAUACUUGGUGUGAAUUGCAGAAUCCCGUGAACCAUCGAGUCUUUGAACGCAAGUUGCGCCCGAAGCCAUUAGGCCGAGGGCACGCCUGCCUGGGCGUCACACGUCGUUGCCCCCCCAUCUACUCCUUCGGGAUUGCGGGGGGCGGAUGAUGGCCUCCCGUGCGCCUCGUCGCGCGGUUGGCAUAAAUGCCAAGUCCUCGGCGACGCACGCCACGACAAUCGGUGGUUGCGAAACCUCGGUUGCCCGUCGUGUGCGGUCGUCGCGCAUCGAGGGCUCGAAAAAAUUGCCGAGCUCUGUUUCGGCUUUCAACGCGACCCCAGGUCAGGCGGGGUUACCCGCUGAAUUUAAGCAUAUCAAUAAGCGGAGGA
rnacentral:misc_RNA from 1 species